rnacentral:lncRNA from 1 species
UGAGGAAGAGAGUUCUUGAAGUCUUGUAAUCGAAAUGAGGAGGUGAGGAUUGAGAGGAAUGUGACCACUGAGGUCAAAGCAAAAGUAAGGGAAAUGACGUCGGUCAAGGUGAAAAUCACAAAGAAAGGUUGGGAGAGGAGGAGAGGUAAACCCGUGCUUUGAUUUGGUCCUCCUGGUAUGGUGUAGGCUGCAGCAAAUGCUACGGUGGCGAUGAGAACGGCAACAAUGGUGCAGUUUUCAGAAGUGCGCUUUAGCCAAUCUGUGGCACUGUUAUGAAGAUCGGAAUAGGUUUUAGCGAAUAGUUCCUCUGGAGUCUGCUUAUUUUCGUUGAGGUGUUUGAUGAAAUAGGUUUUGGAGACUUCCUUCACUCGCUGCACACAUAAUUAAUCUUAUAAAUUUUAGGCUCCUAAACAUAUUUUUGUUUUAUUAAACAUCAUAGAAGAGUUUUCAAAAACUGAAAACUAUUUUCAAGUAUUAUUUUUCAAAACUGUUUUUGAAAAUACUUCUUAAAUAGAGCCUAAGUUUUGAACCCAAUGUAUUUUUGAAGCUUUCAAAUUGAUAAUGCCAUUAAGAAGUAUGUGUGCAAAAGCAGGGUUGAAUAGGAUAAUGGAAGCACACCUCAAACAAGAGCAACUCCUUUUGCAAUUGGAGAGCAGGGCUUUGUAUCUUCUCAGCUAUGUAACCUGAUCUUUUCUUCCCAACCAUAUGAAGUAUGGAGUUUCCCCAUUCGUCAGUCUUUCUUACUAGCCUCCUCGCUAGCAUUUCAUUAUUCACCACCAGAUUGAAGAUCUCUAUUUGGCGGUACUUGACGGCAACAUGCAAAAUGUUCUUCCCUCUGUUAUUAAUAUGCUCAAUAGCCUGUGGGUGCACAUCUAGUAUUUGUUCGACAAUCUCUCGAAUGCCUGACAUUGUGGCCAAAAACAAAGGAGUUUCCCCGGUCUUUAUGAUGGGAGUUGUGUAAUCUUCCUCUUCUCCUCCUCCUCCUUCUCUUUCAGUAAAAGAUGAUUUCUUACUUUCCUGGGACUGUCCUUGGGGGGUUUCUUUCUCUUCAUUACCUACGGANNNNNNNNNNNNNNNNNNNNNNNNNNNNNNNNNNNNNNNNNNNNNNNNNNNNNNNNNNNNNNNNNNNNNNNNNNNNNNNNNNNNNNNNNNNNNNNNNNNNAGGUGAAAUCACAAAGAAAAGGUUGGGAGAGGAGGAGAGGUAAACCCGUGCUUUGAUUUGGUCCUCCUGGUAUGGUGUAGGCUGCAGCAAAUGCUACGGUGGCGAUGAGAACGGCAACAAUGGUGCAGUUUUCAGAAGUGCGCUUUAGCCAAUCUGUGGCACUGUUAUGAAGAUCGGAAUAGGUUUUAGCGAAUAGUUCCUCUGGAGUCUGCUUAUUUUCGUUGAGGUGUUUGAUGAAAUAGGUUUUGGAGACUUCCUUCACUCGCUGCACACAUAAUUAAUCUUAUAAAUUUUAGGCUCCUAAACAUAUUUUUGUUUUAUUAAACAUCAUAGAAGAGUUUUCAAAAACUGAAAACUAUUUUCAAGUAUUAUUUUUCAAAACUGUUUUUGAAAAUACUUCUUAAAUAGAGCCUAAGUUUUGAAGCCAAUGUAUUUUUGAAGCUUUCAAAUUGAUAAUGCCAUUAAGAAGUAUGUGUGCAAAAGCAGGGAUGAAUAGGAUAAUGGAAGCGCACCUCAAACAAGAGCAACUCCUUUUGCAAUUGGAGAGCAGGGCUUUGUAUCUUCUCAGCUAUGUAACCUGAUCUUUUCUUCCCAACCAUAUGAAGUAUGGAGUUCCCCCAUUCGUCAGUCUUUCUUACUAGCCUCCUCGCUAGCAUUUCAUUAUUCACCACCAGAUUGAAGAUCUCUAUUUGGCGGUACUUGACGGCAACAUGCAAAAUGUUCUUCCCUCUGUUAUUAAUAUGCUCAAUAGCCUGUGGGUGCACAUCUAGUAUUUGUUCGACAAUCUCUCGAAUGCCUGACAUUGUGGCCAAAAACAAAGGAGUUUCCCCGGUCUUUAUGAUGGGAGUUGUGUAAUCUUCCUCUUCUCCUCCUCCUCCUUCUCUUUCAGUAAAAGAUGAUUUCUUACUUUCCUGGGACUGUCCUUGGGGGGUUUCUUUCUCUUCAUUACCUACGGACAGGGAUUGCAAUCCAUCUCGUCCCAAUCCUUUCUCGUUUAAGGAAGUUCUGGGACCAUAUCUGUGAGUUCUAGGCUUACUGCGGUCCUCUCGUGGAUUAGUGAGCUUCCAUGAAGUGUCAUUUGGAAUCAACAACUCAGCAAGUUUGGCAGCUGAUUCGUAUCUAGCCUUCUCUUUCCUAACUGCUUCCAAUAUGGGCGAUCUCCAACAUGAU